UACGGAGGGGGCAAGCGUUACUCGGAGUUACUGGGCGUAAAGGGCUCGUAGGUGGCCAACUAAGUCAGACGUGAAAUCCCCAGGCUCAACUUGGGAACUGCGUCUGAUACUGGAUGGCUUGAAUUCGGGAGAGGGAUGCAGAAUUCCAGGUGUAGCGGUGAAAUGCGUAGAUAUCUGGAGGAAUACCGGUGGCGAAGGCGGCAUCCUGGACCGAGAUUGACACUGAUGAGCGAGAGCUAGGGGAGCAAACGGG
rnacentral:rRNA from 1 species